rnacentral:rRNA from 1 species
AUUGAACGCUGGCGGCGUGCUUAACACAUGCAAGUCGUGCGGUAACAGGCGUAGCAAUACGUGCUGACGAGCGGCGAACGGGUGCGUAAUACAUGGGAACCUGCCUUUUAGUGGGGAAUAACCCGGCGAAAGCCCGGGCUAAUGCCGCAUAAGAUCUUCGGAUGAAAGCGGGGGAUCGUAAGACCUCGCGCUGAUAGAUGAGCCCAUGCCCGGAUUAGCUAGNGGUGAGGUAACGGCUCACCAAGGCGACGAUCCGUAGCUGGUCUGAGAGGACGGCCAGCCACACUGGGACUGAGACACGGGCCCAGACUCCUACGGGAGGCAGCAGUGGGAAUAUUGGACAAUGGGGGAAACCCUGAUUCCAG